rnacentral:rRNA from 1 species
UGAGGAAUAUUGCACAAUGGGCGAAAGCCUGAUGCAGCAACGCCGCGUGAGGGACGAAGGCCUUCGGGUCGUAAACCUCUUUUCUGGGGAACGAGCAAGGACGGUACCUCAGGAAUAAGUCUCGGCUAACUACGUGCCAGCAGCCGCGGUAAAACGUAGGAGGCGAGCGUUAUCCGGAUUUACUGGGCGUAAAGCGCACGCAGGCGGUUUCGUUAGUCGGAUGUGAAAGCUCCUGGCUUAACUGGGAGAGGCCAUUCGAUACUGCGAGACUUGAGGUUGGGAGAGGGGUGUGGAAUUCCCGGUGUAGUGGUGGAAUGCGUAGAUAUCGGGAGGAACACCUGUGGCGAAAGCGGCACCCUGGCCCACACCUGACGCUGAGGUGCGAAAGCGUGGGGAGCAAACAGG